AUUGAACGCUGGCGGCAGGCUUAACACAUGCAAGUCGAGCGGGCGAGGUUGCUUCGGUAACUGAGCUAGCGGCGGACGGGUGAGUAAUGCUUAGGAAUCUGCCUAUUAGUGGGGGACAACAUUCCGAAAGGAAUACUAAUACCGCAUACGUCCUACGGGAGAAAGCAGGGGAUCAUUUGACCUUGCGCUAAUAGAUGAGCCUAAGUCGGAUUAGCUAGUUGGUGGGGUAAAGGCCUACCAAGGCGACGAUCUGUAGCGGGUCUGAGAGGAUGAUCCGCCACACUGGGACUGAGACACGGCCCAGACUCCUACGGGAGGCAGCAGUGGGGAAUAUUGGACAAUGGGGGGAACCCUGAUCCAGCCAUGCCGCGUGUGUGAAGAAGGCCUUUUGGUUGUAAAGCACUUUAAGUGGGGAGGAGGCUUACCUGGUUAAUACCUGGGCUAAGUGGACGUUACCCACAGAAUAAGCACCGGCUAACUCUGUGCCAGCCGCCGCCGUAA
rnacentral:rRNA from 1 species